AUUGAACGCUGGCGGCAGGCCUAACACAUGCAAGUCGAACGGUAACAGGAAGAAGCUUGCUUCUUUGCUGACGAGUGGCGGACGGGUGAGUAAUGUCUGGGAAACUGCCUGAUGGAGGGGGAUAACUACUGGAAACGGUAGCUAAUACCGCAUAACGUCGCAAGACCAAAGAGGGGGACCUUCGGGCCUCUUGCCAUCGGAUGUGCCCAGAUGGGAUUAGCUAGUAGGUGGGGUAACGGCUCACCUAGGCGACGAUCCCUAGCUGGUCUGAGAGGAUGACCAGCCACACUGGAACUGAGACACGGUCCAGACUCCUACGGGAGGCAGCAGUGGGGAAUAUUGCACAAUGGGCGCAAGCAUGAUGCAGCCAUGCCGCGUGUAUGAAGAAGGCAUUCGGGUUGUAAAGUACUUUCAGCGGGGAAGAAGGGAGUAAAGUUAAUACCUUUACUCAUUGACGUUACCCGCAGAAGAAGCACCGGCUAACUCCGUG
rnacentral:rRNA from 1 species